GAUCUACUCCCUCCGUCCGGAAAUACUUGUCGGAGAAAUGGAUGUAUUUAGACGUAUUUUAGUUCUUGAUACAUCCAUUUUUAUUCAUUUCUGCGACAAGUAAUUUCGGACGGAGGGACUAUUAA
rnacentral:pre_miRNA from 1 species